UUGCAAUCUUUAUUUAGUAGUUACAGAUACAUUUUGUAGAUACAUUGCAAUAUAAUUAUUUGAAAUUUUUAUCAUUUUUGUAUGUAAAUCAUGUAACAAGUUUUAGACCUAUUUCGAAACACUGGUGGUAAGGCAGAUUGUACCUUCACUAUUGGACUAACAUCUCCUAAAUAAGUAAUCAUAUAUCAUCAAGAAAAAAAUAACCAAAUAUGCAA
rnacentral:lncRNA from 1 species